rnacentral:rRNA from 1 species
GACGAACGCUGGCGGCGUGCUUAACACAUGCAAGUCGAGCGGUAAGGCCCUUUCGGGGGUACACGAGCGGCGAACGGGUGAGUAACACGUGGGUGACCUGCCCUCAGCUCUGGGAUAAGCCUGGGAAACCGGGUCUAAUACUGGAUAUGACUCCAUGACGCAUGUUGUGGGGUGGAAAGCCUUGUGCGGCUGAGGAUGGGCCCGCGGCCUAUCAGCUUGUUGGUGGGGUGAGGCCUACCAAGGCGACGACGGGUAGCCGGCCUGAGAGGGCGACCGGCCACACUGGGACUGAGACACGGCCCAGACUCCUACGGGAGGCAGCAGUGGGGAAUCUUGCGCAAGUGGGACGAAAGCCUGACGCAGCGACGCCGCGUGAGGGAUGACGGCC